CGUCCUCUGCGGUGCAUGUGACUGCAUCAGACACCCUCUGAACCUAUAAGCUAUAUUUCGGGGACCGAAGCGUUGACGCCGGUGUGCAUGCCCGCCUCGUCGCGGGAAGCCUGAAGGCGUCCUAAGCUCCCCACUUGAACCUGUCGGUUCAAGGCCACGGUGCAGCACGGUAUUCGCGGAGGGCGC
rnacentral:other from 1 species